rnacentral:rRNA from 1 species
GACGAACCGUGCGAACGUUGUUCGGAUUCACUGGGCUUAAAGGGCGCGUAGGCGGCUUGCCAAGUCAGGGGUGAAAUCUUUCGGCUCAACCGGAAAAGUGCUUCUGAUACUGGCGGGCUGGAGGGAGGUAGGGGCAGAUGGAACUUCCGGUGGAGCGGUGAAAUGCGUAGAUAUCGGAAGGAACGCCGGUGGCGAAAGCGAUCUGCUGGACCUCUUCUGACGCUGAGGCGCGAAAGCCAGGGGAGCAAACGGG